GAAAAGAAAAGAGAGCAACUCCUGAAAGAUCAGGGUGCAGAAUCCUCUACAGCAGAGCUGUCUCUAUGGAACAGGCUCAUCAGCAUGAAUAGACAUCGAUGGACUUCAGAUAAGCCUCAGGUCCUAGCAAGCCUGAUGCAACUGGAAAGGGAAGAGGAGUCUCCUUUGAAUGCGGCUGUUAACGGAUCUGCAGCACUGGUUCUCCCCCUGCUG